GACGAACGCUGGCGGCGCGCCUAACACAUGCAAGUCGAACGGGGUCUUUUAGGAGCUUGCUUUUGGAAGACCUAGUGGCGGACGGGUGAGUAACACGUGAGCAACCUGCCUCGAAGAGGGGGAUAACGUCUGGAAACGGACGCUAAUACCGCAUAACAUAUUCUGGUGGCAUCGCCGGGAUAUCAAAGGAGUAAUCCGCUUUGAGAUGGGCUCGCGCCCGAUUAGGUAGUUGGUGGGGUAAAGGCCUACCAAGCCGACGAUCGGUAGCCGGACUGAGAGGUUGAACGGCCAGAUUGGGACUGGGACACGGCCCAGACUCCUACGGGAGGCAGCAGUCGGGAAUAUUGCGCAAUGGAGGGAACUCUGACGCAGUGAUGCCGCGUAUGGGAAGAAGGUUUUCGGAUUGUAAACCAUUUUAGACAGGGAAGAAGAAAGUGACAGUACCUGUAGAAUAAGCUCCGGCUAACUACGUGCCAGCAGCCGCGGUAACAC
rnacentral:rRNA from 1 species